rnacentral:rRNA from 1 species
UACAGAGGUCUCAAGCGUUUGUUCGGAUUCAUUGGGCGUAAAGGGUGCGUAGGUGGCGCCGUAAGUCGGGUGUGAAAUUUCGGAGCUUAACUCCGAAACUGCAUUCGAUACUGCGGUGCUUUGAGGACUGGAGAGGAGACUGGAAUUCAUGGUGUAGCAGUGAAAAUGCGUAGAGAUCAUGAGGAAGACCAGUGGCGAAGGCGGGUCUCUGGACAGUUCCUGACACUGAGGCACGAAGGCCAGGGGAGCAAACGGG